UGGUGAGGUAAAGGCUCACCAAGGCGACGAUCCCUAGCUGGUUUGAGAGGAUGAUCAGCCACACUGGAACUGAGACACGGUCCAGACUCCUACGGGAGGCAGCAGUGGGGAAUAUUGCACAAUGGGCGCAAGCCUGAUGCAGCCAUGCCGCGUGUGUGAAGAAGGCCUUCGGGUUGUAAAGCACUUUCACUCAGGAGGAAAGGUUAGUAGUUAAAACCUGCUAGCUGUGACGUUACUGACAGAAGAAGCACCGGCUAACUCCGUGCCAGCAGCCGCGGUAAUACGGAGGGUGCGAGCGUUAAUCGGAAUUACUGGGCGUAAAGCGUACGCACGCGGUUUGUUAAGCGAGAUGUGAAAGCCCCGGGCUUAACCUGGGAACUGCAUUUCGAACUGGCAAACUAGAGUGUGAUAGAGGGUGGUAGAAUUUCAGGUGUAGCGGUGAAAUGCGUAGAGAUCUGAAGG
rnacentral:rRNA from 1 species